GGCCCUAUGGGGCGCAGCAGGCGAGAAAACUUUGCAAUGUGCGAAAGCACGACAAGGUUAAUCCGAGUGGUUUCUGCUAAAGGAACCUUUUGUUAGUCCUAGAAACACUAACGAAUAAGGGGUGGGCAAGUUCUGGUGUCAGCCGCCGCGGUAAAACCAGCACCUCAAGUGGUCAGGAUGAUUAUUGGGCCUAAAGCAUCCGUAGCCGGCUCUGUAAGUUUUCGGUUAAAUCUGUACGCUCAACGUACAGGCUGCCGGGAAUGCUGCAGAGCUAGGGAGUGGGAGAGGUAGACGGUACUCGAUAGGAAGGGGUAAAAUCCUUUGAUCUAUUGAUGACCACCUGUGGCGAAGGCGGUCUACCAGAACACGUCCGACGGUGAGGGAUGAAAGCUGGGGGAGCAAACCGGAUUAGAUACCCGGGUAGUCCCAGCUGUAAACUAUGCAAACUCAGUGAUGCAUUGGCUUGUGGCCAAUGCAGUGCUGCAGGGAAGCCGUUAAGUUUGCCGCCUGGGAAGUACGUACGCAAGUAUGAAACUUAAAGGAAUUGGCGGGGGAGCAC
rnacentral:rRNA from 1 species